GGGUUCGAUUCCGGAGAGGGAGCCUGAGAAACGGCUACCACAUCCAAGGAAGGCAGCAGGCGCGCAAAUUACCCAAUCCCAAUACGGGGAGGUAGUGUCAAUAAAUAACAAUAUGGGGCUCUUACGGGUCUCGUAAUUGGAAUGAGUACAAUUUAAAUCUCUUAACGAGGAACAAUUGGAGGGCAAGUCUGGUGCCAGCAGCCGCGGUAAUUCCAGCUCCAAUAGCGUAUAUUAAAGUUGUUGCAGUUAAAAAGCUCGUAGUUGAAUUUCGGAGUUUGUCGGUUGGUCGGGCUUCACUGUCCGCACUGGCCUGAUGGAUUCCUACCUUCUGAAUAACCAGCAUGCUAUUAAGUUAGUGCGUUGGGGAAGCAGAGCUAUUACCUUGAAAAAAUUAGAGUGCUUAAAGCAGGCUUUUGCUUGAAUAGAUUAGCAUGGAAUAAUAAAAUAGGACGGCAUGGUUCUAUUUUGUUGGUUUCUAGGAUCACCGUAAUGAUUAAUAGGGAUAGUUGGGGGCAUUAGUAUUCAAUUGUCAGAGGUGAAAUUCUUGGAUUUAUUGAAGACUAACUUCUGCGAAAGCAUUUGCCAAGGAUGUUUUCAUUAAUCAAGAACGAAAGUUAGGGGAUCGAAGACGAUCAGAUACCGUCGUAGUCUUAACCAUAAACUAUGCCGACUAGGGAUCGGACGAUGUUAAUUUUUUAAUGAC
rnacentral:rRNA from 1 species